rnacentral:rRNA from 1 species
AGCGAACGCUGGCGGCAGGCCUAACACAUGCAAGUCGAACGGACUCUUCGGAGUUAGUGGCGGACGGGUGAGUAACACGUGGGAACGUGCCUUUUGGUUCGGAAUAACUCAGGGAAACUUGUUCUAAUACCGAAUGUGCCCUUCGGGGGAAAGAUUUAUCGCCAUUUGAGCGGCCCGCUUCUGAUUAGCUAGUUGGUUAGGUAACGGCUCACCAAGGCGACGAUCAGUAUCUGGUCUGAGAGGAUGACCAGCCACACUGGGAAUGAGACACGGCCCAGACUCCUACGGGAGGGAGCAGUGGGGAAUAUUGCGCAAUGGGCGAAAGCAUGACGCAGCCAUGCCGCGUGAAUGAUGAAGGUAUUAGGAUUGUAAAAUUCUUUCACCGGGGAAGAUAAUGACGGUACCCGGAGAAGAAGCCCCGGCUAACUUCGUG